AUUUUUUAAAAAAAAAUCGAAAAUAAUAAAUAAUUAAAAAUAAAAUAAAAUAACCAUUUUUAGAAGAGGAUGCGUCAGAUGAACUGGUGCAUCCCCUAAGCAACCAAAGGAGGCGCCAAUAGUACAGGCGCCAAUGCCUCUGGUGCCUGCAUGUCAUGUCAUGUUGGGCGACAACCCUCUUGAUGCAUGCAUUUUAUGUCCACUUUGUAUAAAUGUCCCGUCUUGGGUGCAAUACUUUUCACACAAAAUCAUCUCCUCCUACCAUAUUUUCUCUAAUUCAAC
rnacentral:lncRNA from 1 species